AUUUAUUAUAUACUCUGUGUGUGUGUGUGUGUGUGUGUGUGUGUGUGUAUAUAUAUAUAUAUAUACACACACACACACACAUAUAUAUAUAUAUAUACACACA